rnacentral:rRNA from 1 species
AUUGAACGCUGGCGGCAUGCCUUACACAUGCAAGUCGAACGGUAACAGGUCUUCUGAUGCUGACGAGUGGCGAACGGGUGAGUAAUACAUCGGAACGUGCCCGAUCUUGGGGGAUAACGAGGCGAAAGCUUUGCUAAUACCGCAUACGAUCUACGGAUGAAAGCGGGGGAUCUUCGGACCUCGCGCGGACGGAGCGGCCGAUGGCAGAUUAGGUAGUUGGUGGGAUAAAAGCUUAACAAGCCGACGAUCUGUAGCUGGUCUGAGAGGAUGAUCAGCCACACUGGGACUGAGACACGGCCCAGACUCCUACGGGAGGCAGCAGUGGGGAAUUUCGGACAAUGGGCGAAAGCCUGAUCCAGCCAUGCCGCGUGCAGGAUGAAGGCCUUCGGGUUGUAAACUGCUUUUGUACGGAACGAAAAGCCUCUUUCUAAUAAAGAGGGGUCAUGACGGUACCGGAAGAAUAAGCACCGGCUAACUACGUG